rnacentral:rRNA from 1 species
GACGUAGGGCGCGAGCGUUGUCCGGAUUUAUUGGGCGUAAAGAGCUCGUAGGCGGCCCUGUCAGUCGGGUGUGAAAGCCCGGGGCUCAACCCCGGAACGGCACCCGAGACGGCAGGGCUGGAGACCGGGAGAGGAGGGUGGAAUAGCCAGUGUAGAGGUGAAAUUCGUAGAUAUUGGCUGGAACACCCGUGGCGAAAGCGGCUCUCUGGGACGGUACUGACGCUGAGGCGCGAAAGCUAGGGGAGCGAACGGG